GACGGCGACCUCGCAGAUCUCGUUCUGGUGGUCUCCGACCACCGGCAGACUGUAAUGCCCGUUGAAUCCGGUCACCCCCUCCACUGAUAUUUAUAGUGAGAGAAAGGAUGAGAGAGAAGCUAAAAAAUGGUGGUGGAAGGAACGAUUAUUUUGCACUGGUUUUACGGCAUUCCACACACUUGGAGAGGAGAGAAUGCUGAUACACACAUUCCCAUGCAUCAUAAUAUUGUACGGACGCAAUUUGUUUUCUUUUUUCAUUAUGAAAAGAAUAUUUCU